rnacentral:rRNA from 1 species
AUUGAACGCUGGCGGCAGGUCUAACACAUGCAAGUCGAACGAGUGGCGGACGGGUGAGUAAUGUCUGGGAAACUGCCCGAUGGAGGGGGAUAACUACUGGAAACGGUAGCUAAUACCGCAUACCAUCGGAUGUGCCCAGAUGGGAUUAGCUAGUAGGUGGGGUAAUGGCUCACCUAGGCGACACUCCCUAGCUGGUCUGAGAGGAUGACCAGCCACACUGGAACUGAGACACGGUCCAGACUCCUACGGGAGGCAGCAGGGGGGAAUAUUGCACAAUGGGCGCAAUCCUGUUGCCGCCAUGCCGCGGGUCUGAAGAAGGCCUCUGGGUUGUAAAGCACUUUCAGCUAGGAUUCGUUACUCGCAGAAGACGCACCGGCUAACUCCGUGCCAGCCGCCGCGGUAAUAC